CAUUCACUUAUGCAAUUGAAGUAAAAAUUGGACAUUCUGUACAGAAUGAGAAAGCUAAUACCAACUACAAAGUAGAUUGAAGCUAGAAUACCAUGUGCAGAUGAUAAUGAUGUUCCUGCAUCCAGACAAAAUGAAGUAUUCAAAAGGGAUUCAAUUUGGGAUUACGUUUUUGCCCUGAAUGGUUCAGCGUAUAAGAAGCAUCUGCAGUAUCAUUCCAAUUCGAGAAGCCUUUGCGAACGUCAACACCCACUUUCAGCCGACAACAUCCUUAUUCAUCAAAAUCGACAUCAGGCUUGCUCCGAAAGUUGGAUCUGCCUACUAAUCUGAGAUAACAAGACUUUGUUCGCUCUACAGUUUCGGAUCUGAACAACUUGGUGCAUUAUACACAAGGUCCACUGUAGACAGUUGAAUCAUGGAACUUGAACAAAACAUAGAGCAUACAUUGCUUCGUCACAUAAGACUGUAUCAGAUUACUUUCAAAAUCAGAGUUUGUGCAUCCAGACUGUGGAGACCGAAAAAGUAUAACAGUGACAUAUACGAUGGCCUCCAUUAUCUGUUAGUCGACGAAGAGGCAAGGCACAUGCUAUUCACGGUUUAAUAUCCGAAUCUGCUUAUCCUUACAUGUCCAACAAAAUGGAAGAAGGACAGGUGUAUGACAUUACCAAUUUCUAUAACCGAAAACCUGUAUCAAAAUAUAAAGUUGCUGGUCACAUGGUAGAAGUGUGUUUCAAUGAGUCAACAAAGUUUGAGCCUGUAAUGGAUGCAUUCCCUCCAAUCCCAGAGCAUUCAUUUAACUUACUUCAUUUUGACAACUUGGAGGACCAGAUGAGGACUCAGACAGUACUUAAGGGAUGUUUACGGUUGUAUCAAAUCACUGAUACCAGAACAUCAAGUUACUGUCAAAGACACUGGAAAAUUGGAAUCAAAAUGUGAAAUAUUUGUAGAAAAUUUGAGGAGGGAGGAUAUCAGAAUUACCUUCUGGGGUGACAUAGCUAGAGAGUUUGAUAUGGAAAGAGUUAAACAGUUAUCCCCACCAGUGCUCGCUGUAUUCACGGGUUUAAGGUUGGCCAAAUUCCAAGGUAAACAUUAAUUAAAAACAAUGAUACUGAUUAUUUUUACAGCUGACUGAUUAUUUUUACAGCUGACAACAACAUAUAAUUAUUUGUAUCAAUGGUGGAACAAACCCCAACCACUAUAACACCGAAGCGGCUUCCAACUGAAGGAAAAAGAAACAUUGAAGCAAGUGGAAAAUCUUUGUGCAUCGUAGAGCCUGAGAAAAAAGCCAAGAAUGAGAAGGAGACCAAGCGUGGAGCAAUGAUAUUGGCAUCAUCAGUGUCAUCAUCAGCAAGCAAAGAACAACUUCAGAAAGAAAAGGCAGACUGAAUCUAAAUUGCUCCUCUGUACAGCUGUAACUUAAUUUAUCUAAUUAUACCUGCGCUGACUCCAUUUUGUGUACAGCUAUAGUCAGCGAAACAACUGGAUCUUUUGGGAACUGGAGGUAUUAAUUUUUUGGUUAAACUCCAGUCCAAUUUUUUGAUAAUUAGCUCCAGUUGUUUCAGCAGUGAUAACAGAUCUAAUGAUCUUUGAACAAUGGAAGCAGUUAAUUUUUUGGACAACCAGUGUCAGCUACUCUGGCUGGGUUGUACUAGCUUCCUUUGAAUCAAAUACUCUAUCAGUACUGUAUUGACUUAACUAUAUGUAGUAAUUUGUGAGUAAUGUUUAAAUUCCAUUUCUUCAUAAA